rnacentral:rRNA from 1 species
GGAAUUUUGGACAAUGGGCGCAAGCCUGAUCCAGCAAUGCCGCGUGAGUGAAGAAGGCCUUCGGGUUGUAAAGCUCUUUUGUCAGGGAAGAAACGGGCCUUUCUAAUACAGGGGCCUAAUGACGGUACCUGAAGAAUAAGCACCGGCUAACUACGUGCCAGCAGCCGCGGUAAUACGUAGGGUGCAAGCGUUAAUCGGAAUUACUGGGCGUAAAGCGUGCGCAGGCGGUUUUGUAAGACUGUCGUGAAAUCCCCGGGCUCAACCUGGGAAUGGCGAUGGUGACUGCAAGGCUAGAGUUUGGCAGAGGGGGGUAGAAUUCCACGUGUAGCAGUGAAAUGCGUAGAUAUGUGGAGGAACACCGAUGGCGAAGGCAGCCCCCUGGGUCAAAACUGACGCUCAUGCACGAAAGCGUGGGGAGCAAACAGGAUUAGAUACCCCGG